CCCAAGCAGUGGAAGCAGUGAACUCCCACUUCCUUCGAAAUUCCUUCCUCUUGAUGCCAAGUGGAUCCCUUUGGCCAGUUUGAGUCAACUGUCCUAAUUCUGUUCUCUCCCAGCUCCUUGGGCUCUUCACUGUGAAUGGCCUUGCUCUGUGUAACACUGUUUAGCAGCACCUAGCUUACUGUGCCAUCUCCUUUCUUCUUCUAAAUGGGAAAGAAACGAGGCUGAAACCGGUACAUUCAUAUCAGCUCUUGGCUACACAUCAGCAGAUUAUUAUUGUCACUUGGUUGAAAAUAUUGUCUCCUCAUUAGUAACAGAACUCAGAGGAAAUCAAUUUAGUGAACUUAACAUUCAGGGGAGAAUUUCAGUCAGUCGUGUGAAUGCUGUGUCCCUUUUCUGUCUCCCACUUAUUACUUUGCCUGAUUUAACUCCAUUGUUGGAAACUCUUCUUGUUUACCAUGGGGGAGCAUCAAAAGAAAUUCUCAGCUCAGAGUUCUUGGAGGCUGUGAAUGAUGCCUUUUUAAAGAAGAAGAUCUCCCUUUCCGAAUCAGCUAUCUUCAGCCUCUGGCAUCGUCACUUACCAAGCCUUGAAAGUGCCACACUAAGUCUUUUAGAUCAGCUGAUAUCCCUUCAGAUAAAUUCUUUGGAAAAAGUGGCUUGUGUCAUAAAAGAUUCACUUCUGGUAUGUACAACACCAUAGUACAUUUGAUACUGCUCUUUCAGACUUAGUAAAUGGCUGUUUUUUAAAUAUGUCAGCAUCUUCGAGAGAAGUGGUCUGUGACGUGGCGUAAAGCUUCCUUUAUCUGGCAAUAACUGCAUUACUAGAAGCAAAUUUUGAUUCUUGUGCGUUUCAGUAAAUUUCUGGUUUUUGCAGCAAACUAACUGAGAACAAAAAAGAACUUCAUCCAGUGAUGAAAAUCAUAUAGAGAAACUGAAAAUCCGGUUGAUGUCAGUACUGAGUACCUGUCUGUAUUUAAAAAUUACAGACUUUUUCCAGGGAGGAUUUUUACUUCAAUCUCUGUGCCCUUGGGAGUAUAACAGUUUAAGCAAUUAAGUUGACUGUAGAUUACUUCUUUUUGGGCUGCUUGCUUAUUUACUUAGUUUUGUUUGCAGAUCUGAACAAAGCUCUUAAUAUAGAACAUUUUCUAAACUGUAAUUAGAGCUAGUUAGUUUGUUUUAAAAUACCAUGUUACUCAGUUCACCAAAAAUCUAAUUUCUUAUUGGAAAACAUAAUGACACAGUACCUCUUCCAAAAUAAUGAGCCUGGCCUGAGUAGCGCUUCAUGUGUUGUCUGAGGUUCUAGGUGUCCCAGAAUACAACUCUUAUAUGCAAGGCCUGUGUGUUGUUUCUGUAUUAAAUACACUGCGAGUUGAAUACAAUGCAUGAUACCACAGAUGGUGGAGAAAAAAUAAUCUGCGU